CCAUUUGAUUCUGUUUAGAAGAUAGCCACCGACUCCGAAGGGAAAGCUUCAGUGGCUGAUGGAGCUGUGACCUUUUGAGCAGGGUACAUUUGGAGCACAGAGCCGGGCAUAUAAUAUACAAGACAGCACAGACCGGAAGAAAGACUGAUGAAGAAAAGUAACAGCAUGAUUGAGGUAAUGGAGACCUACUGGAACACGCGGAGAAGCUAGUAUCUUGCAGGAAGCCAAGAUGAGGAGAGUCUUUUUAAAAUAAUCCGGUGAAGGCAGAGAGAGCGGUACCCCAGGACAGACCUCG
rnacentral:sRNA from 1 species